UCAGCGGUGGUUAAUUGGAAAACGUCUGUUGCCAACGGGAAAUGUAGGUUCGAGGCCUACCCGCUACA
rfam:Sphingobacterium nematocida strain DSM 24091 genome assembly, contig: LY61DRAFT_scaffold00026.26